GAUCAAACCCAUACCACAGCAGUGCCCGAAGCUGCUGCAGUGAUCACGCCAGACCCUUAACCCCCUGUGCCACAAGGGAACUCCUCCACUCUAGUUUCUUAAGAUCUUUACUUCUGAGCAUUCGGCGUGUCGUCUCUGUGAGGAGGAGCAGAGGACAGAGCACAGGCUUCUGUGUCUGGCUGCCCAAGCUUAAUGGCAGCCUCCCCACUCACUAGCUGUGUCGCCUUGGGUAAGUUACUUAACCACUCUGGGCCCAUUUUCUGUAAAAGAACAGGAGCACCUUCAGUCUAUAGUUCUGAGGAUUAUAUGGGGUAACUCAUGUAAGGAGUUAACUGUAGCAUCUGGCACCUUAGUAAAUAGUCAAUAAAUAUGAAUUUUAAUUUGGCAUCAACAAAUCCCCUUUAUGCAGCCUCAGGGAGCGCAGGACACAACACAUGGGUGGUUUUCCACCGCCACUGAGAGAGGAGGCCAUGGCAGCUCCGCUCUCGCCUCUGCUCACACGCCUGUGCAAAGGUGAGGACGCAGAGAACACACACUCUUCCAGCGGAAGAAGAACAACGUGGACCCCCACUGGCCUCCGAGGAGCCGUACGUGGGUCGGUGCUGAGCAUGAUUACACACCAACCUUCCAGCUUCCAAGCUGAGCAGGUGCCUCACCCUCAAGCGCUCGGCUUCACAUCCCAGUGGGCAAAGCUUCUACAGCGAGGUCUUCUACCUGCCUUGGGAAUUGAGUUCCAACGCCCCCUCUGCCGGCAGCUCCCUCAGGCACUUGUACCCUCACCCAUCACCCCCUCCCCUACUGCAAGGGUGCCAUCUGCUCACCCAGUCCCCCAAUCCCGGGUGGCUCCCUACCCUCAACUUUCUUGCUGCUGCUUCUUGCCACCAUCAGCCACAAGAGGAAGCCAGAAAAACACCGCUGGACUUCAGAGGAUGUGCUAUGCGAGACUAUAAGCUCAGGUCACUGCUCUGGGACACAGCCAACAAGAACUAUGCUAAACACACAGCGAAGACACACUGUAACUAAGAGGAGAGGAGCUGACUUGAGUGUGGUUUGCCUGGAGUGCAGGCAGCACCCAGUGGGUGGGGGGCCCCCAGUUACCCAGGCUAAAGGGUCAAACAUUGCAGAAAGCGUCAGAAGACACUCUGGACCAUGUAGUAAGCUAUUCACAGAAUGUUAGGGGAGAAGCUCCCUCUUUCUGAACAUAAUCCUCGAAUACAUUUUCAUUCUCUACCCAGAAAAUGUAUUAACCUAUAGGAUUCUGCACAGGAACAAACGGGCCUUGCCUGAACUUCCACUUUCAACAUUUUGCCAUUCUCUCCACUAGCUGAUGGCAGUCCAGGCUGUCGGUCUCACACACUCAAAGCAUCAGUGUGGCAGCGGAAUAUGGGACCCUCAAAUGUCCAUGUCCCAGUCCCAGAAACCUGGGAACAUGGUACCCUGCCUGGCAAAAUGGGCUCUGCAGAGGGGAAUGAACAGGCAGAUCCCGAAGUGGGGAGAUCAUCCUGAGAUAUUUGGGUGGGUCCUACAAACCAUCACAAGAGUCCUUGUGACAGGAGAGGAGGUUCAGCAUCAGAAAAUGCAGUCGGGAGCUGCAGGCAGCCUCCAGAAGCUGGAAAAAGGAAAAUGCCAGGAAAGGAUUUUCCCCUUGGGUUUCCAGAAGGAAUACCCCUCUGCGGACCUAUUUUAAAUGAUCUUUUCUGAUCUCCAGAAAGGUCAGAAUAGAUCUAUGUCACUUUAAGCUGCUAGGUGUGUGAUCAUUUGUUACCGCUGCUCCAGGAAAUGAAUACCCUCAAACUCAGCUACGCACAGCACUCUGAUCUGUACAAAGCAAAAUGUAACACACGAUAGAUGUCAAAUAGCAUAUAAUAUCAAGCAGCUCCUAAUCAUUCGCAUUACACAUAAAAGAAAUACAAGCAAUCAUAGUGAGGUUAAGAUUUCAACUCUCCAGUAUGAGCUUUUAGGAUAUUUUAAAAAUUGUCUGAGAGCUCCCAUUGUGGCUCAGCAGGUUAAGAACCACUGUGCAGCCAUAAAAAGAAAAGAAAAUGUGUCUGAUUUCAGCAUCCACUGGUUUACAUCCUAUCAUUUUUCUGCUUGUUCCUUCUACUUUGUUUUUCUUUCUUUAUACCACUCCCCUUCUGUUCCCAAGGUCAAAGUCUGUGGUCUAAAGUGAUCUCUUUUUCUUGUCUUAGAGUCAUGUCCUGUGCAGAGAAAGCUCUGCUGUGGUUUUCGGCUCCCAGAAACCCCACGGGGCUACUUAGUUAGGCAGCUAUGGAAUCUGCUUUAUUCUGAGGGUGGAGUCCUGUUUUAAGGGUGGGAACGCAGUUCUUACAGGGCUGUUCUGUGAGCCAGCGGCCGGCCCUGCCUUCUCCCAA
rnacentral:lncRNA from 1 species